rnacentral:rRNA from 1 species
CCGAGUUUACAACUCCCAAACCCAAUGUGAACGUUACCAAACUGUUGCCUCGGCGGGAUCUUCUGCCCCGGGUGCGUCGCAGCCCCGGACCAAGGCGCCCGCCGGAGGACCAACCCAAAACUCUUAUUGUAUACCCCUCGCGGGUUUUUUAUAAUCUGAGCCUUCUCGGCGCCUCUCGUAGGCGUUUCGAAAAUGAAUCAAAACUUUCAACAACGGAUCUCUUGGUUCUGGCAUCGAUGAAGAACGCAGCGAAAUGCGAUAAGUAAUGUGAAUUGCAGAAUUCAGUGAAUCAUCGAAUCUUUGAACGCACAUUGCGCCCGCCAGUAUUCUGGCGGGCAUGCCUGUCCGAGCGUCAUUUCAACCCUCGAACCCCUCCGGGGGGUCGGCGUUGGGGAUCGGCCUCCUCUCACGGGGGCCGUCUCCGAAAUACAGUGGCGGUCUCGCCGCAGCCUCUCCUGCGCAGUAGUUUGCACACUCGCAUCGGGAGCGCGGCGCGUCCACAGCCGUUAAACACCCCAAACUUCUGAAAUGUUGACCUCGGAUCAGGUAGGAAUACCCGCUGAACUUAAGCAUAUCAAA